rnacentral:rRNA from 1 species
UACAGAGGUCUCGAGCGUUGUUCGGAUUCAUUGGGCGUAAAGGGCGCGUAGGCGGCGGGGUAAGUCUGGUGUGAAAUCUAGGAGCUCAACUCCUAAACUGCACUGGAUACUGCUCUGCUAGAGGACUGGAGAGGAGACUGGAAUUCACGGUGUAGCAGUGAAAUGCGUAGAUAUCGUGAGGAAGACCAGUGGCGAAGGCGGGUCUCUGGACAGUUCCUGACACUGAGACACGAAGGCCAGGGGAGCAAACGGG